rnacentral:rRNA from 1 species
UGGGGAAUAUUGCACAAUGGGCGCAAGCCUGAUGCAGCCAUGCCGCGUGUAUGAAGAAGGCCUUCGGGUUGUAAAGUACUUUCAGCGGGGAGGAAGGGAGUAAAGUUAAUACCUUUGCUCAUUGACGUUACCCGCAGAAGAAGCACCGGCUAACUCCGUGCCAGCAGCCGCGGUAAUACGGAGGGUGCAAGCGUUAAUCGGAAUUACUGGGCGUAAAGCGCACGCAGGCGGUUUGUUAAGUCAGAUGUGAAAUCCCCGGGCUCAACCUGGGAACUGCAUCUGAUACUGGCAAGCUUGAUUCUCGUAGAGGGGGGUAGAAUUCCAGGUGUAGCGGUGAAAUGCGUAGAGAUCUGGAGGAAUACCGGUGGCGAAGGCGGCCCCCUGGACGAAGACUGACGCUCAGGUGCGAAAGCGUGGGGAGCAAACAGG